UCCAUCAUCCCCAAGCACAAGCUCUGACUCUGUCCGCGAGGAAAAACAUAUCCGUCCGUGACAGCAGUAUAAUAGCAUCCACAACAAGCAAGAACCUCCCUCUCUCCCUGUCUCUCUCUUUCUCGUUCCCUCUUUCUUUCUCUCCUCAGCAAAAGUCUACAAAGCCCCGACUAAACUCACGGAAAGUGGGGGGAUGCGCGUAAUCAGCAUCGUAUGGCCAGACCAAGGCUCCGGUUUUCUCCCGGUGCCAUAACACCGCGCCGUAUUAUGCGCCCUGCUCACGUGACACCACGUCAACUUAAAUCCCUUUUAUUUGAGCCCGUGAAUCAUUCAUGGAGGCAGUCAUUGCCCCUGAGGAAAACGGAUCACUUUAGAGGGAGGAAAAAGAAGGGUACAUGAGACUACAAUGUACGAUGGGACAGGACUCUCGCAGUGCCUCUCUACUUCCACACAACUCGCCUGAUUCCGAGGCGUGUGUGUUCUGUCAGUUUUGAAGGCUCCUAUAUUUAGUGCCUAUUAACGUAAUCAGAGAGCGCUAAUCCCGAUGUAAAAUACUGUGAUGCUAGGCUAACUAGCCUUGGGCCACGGGUAGAGCCAGGAAUGUGUUUGGCGUGGUGGUGUGACAAUUCUCACUAUGUGAGAUAGAUAGAGGGCUUUUCCUCAAGGAAGCCCCUUAUGGGUGGCCGAUUGCUCACUCAACACCCGAGUCACCCCUUUAUUUUUUAUAGAGAGAUAUGGCUGGUGCUAUUGUGUGCAGAGUGUGCAGAGGCACUCAAUAUCGCCACCACUCCACUAUACAUCACCCCACACCCCCGAGCUAUACAACCAAUCACUCACCCACUCACUCACUCAGUCAAUAGCCACAUACUGGCGGCCGAAUCGAAAUCAAAUAUCUCAUAGUUACCUGUCCGAACGCUGCGUAAAGGUGUGCGUCCCAGUAGCCGGGAGGUGUGAGUGUCAGUUAGUCAGUCAGUGCUGAUCUGAGAGGAGAUAGUGCACGAGUAAGCGCAAUGAGCUGGUUCUUUACCCCCCUGGUCAGUGCAGCGACCCUCCAUUCAACCUGCAGCUCUUACGCAUUUCCUACCGCCAGUUGAGUGAUGCUGGAAAUUAUAGGUUUGCGCAGAGGACAUACUCAAAUCCCAGUAUGGGGAGGGGGAAGGAUCAGGUGGUAAUAUGGCAACUAGCCUACUCUUCUUGUUCACAUGAAAACGUAUGAGAUGAGGGUCAUCGAUAAUAAUUAUCUUUGAAAUACAUGUAUAUUCUACUGCAAUGUCUAAUAGACCCACAACUUAAGUUAUGAACGGUAUGGUGGCCCACUACAUUAUAUCGUUUAGACUUCCCGGGUACAGCCUAAACCUUGUCCGGAAGAGCAGCCCUUCUCUCGGCGCCGUUUGGCGCUUGUUUUCUGUCAACACUGAGCAGCGGGCGUGGAAAUGUUCCACCAUAACUAUUAAUCACGUCAAGCGGACAUGGAGCGCAUCCCACUCCCACACCACGCCACCCUUUGUCUUCUCAAACUACAACUUGAGCCGUUUAAACUUUUAAAAAUCCGAGCAGGAGGGGACCAUCUCUUAUCAGUUUACCUUUCAGACUACUUUGUGGAAGAUUGGGAGUGAGGAUGUUCUGAUUUUAUGAUUUAUGUUGGGUUAGAAUUAUGGUUCGGCCAGAUUUGCAUACCACUGCACCAGAGUGCACAUGCAUGGCAUGCCGGGGAGCGUCUGUGACUGGAGCUGACGGUGGACGGAAAACAGACCCUCUCUCCCACGCCGGGUUUCGCCACCGCACCUGAACUUUUUCCUGACCCAAGCCGAGGCCCAGAGAGUCGAGUGUGAAGUUAUUUGGGGUCAAAAACAAGGAAAGGAUGGAGACUACAAAACCAAUUACGAACAUAGCUAAACCUCCGUUUUCAGUUUUGGAUACUUUUUAGGAUGGGUGUUUGUCAUUUUCAGCAGUUUCAAGUUUCAAAGUUUAUUCGCCACUGCACAGAAUUCAACAGGUGUAAAACCGUACAGUGGAAUUCUUGAUUUGAGAGCUAGUUCCAAUAAUCCGUGAUAAUACUAUAGUAAUACUAUAAACUAGUGAUAAUACUAUAGUAAUACUAUACACUAGUGAUAAUACUAUAUAAAAUAACCGAACAUAUAAUACAAAAUGCAAUCAAGAAUAAAAACCACACAAGAUGAUUAGCCUAUUACAGCAUUUGGUUAGUUUCUUUGUUUAUACUUUUUCUGAGUUAUUUCUUCAGAUAUAUCAAACUCCCAACAUUCCCCGGCCACCAAGAGGACUUGAGCUGUCGACCUCUCCACACCCUCUGUCGUUGGGUGUUCGCCAGACGGCGGUGGCUAUAGGCUACAUAUCUCCCCACAAUGUUGACAUUUGAAGCUCUUAACAGCGAGCCUUGGGUUACCGAUACACUCAGCAGAAGAUAACUCUUUCUCAGGGGUUUACAUUGACCAACAUCAAGGCUAAUGCGAAAUUCAACGCCUUAAACUGGCUUGGCGUCCAAGCUAAGACAAAGAAGCCUCGGUGGAUCUCGCUUAUACACGACUACACGGACUGACUUCUGUUCUGCUGGUUUGUUUCAGUACGUAUUGUAGAAAUAAAAUUGUAUUAAUUUGGA